UUUGCCACUCCUUUUAAGAAUUUAUCCUCUCACUUUACAGCCGUUGAAUUUAUUCUCUCACUUUAUAGCCUUUCUUGAUACCCUGAACUCCAUCCUGUCAUUCAUCUAGCCAGACGAUUGCAUCUUUACACCUGAAUCCCAUUCCCUUUACUUUACUCCAUACUCCAUUCUUUAAUUGAAGGCUUGAGAAAGCCUUCCAACUACAAGUCCCAUAAAUACAAAUUUAACCUACUGUUACUCUCUGUCCAGUGUCAGCUUACUCCCAGCUAUUGUUUUUCCAGAGCCUUCAAAUAAUUGUUUUUAAAAUUUUGCCCAUUGUUUGUAAUCAUUAUUUGUAGAAUGUUUAACCCAAUAGAAGAUAAUUUGGCUUUAAUGGAAGCAUAGCUGUUCUCCUGUAUUACUUUGAAGCAAGUCUCAGACAUUCCGUUUCAUCAGAAAAUAUUUUAGUAUAUAUCUGUAAAAUAAGUAGACGCUCUAUAAAAACAAAGUGCAAUGCCAUUGCCAUAGUAAAAAAAAUUUCUGUUAAGUUUCAUCAUGCAUCUGCUGUUUGAAUUUCUAAUCAUCCCACAAAUACCAGAAGGAAUAUGGUAAGUUUACACAUCAUCUCAGUUGAGAAUAUGUGGUGAUUGAAAUAAAAUAUUCUUUCCUUAUAAUCAGGUUCGUGACAAUAAAAAGCUAAGAGUCAAUGCUGUUAUUGCUCCCAAGAUUUCAUAUGCAGACAAACCACCUUCAAGAUCUCUGAAUGAACUAAAACAGUAUGGAUUUUUUUCUUACUUGCGAGAGUUAUUUGAUGCACCUGAGCCCGUAAUGAGUUACCUUUGCUUCCAGUAUCACAUUCAUGAAGUUCCUGUGGGAACUGAAAAAACCAGAGAAAGAAUUGAGCGGGUAAGAAAGCACUGAAUUAUUACCAAGAACAUUGUUUGAAUAAAUUUUCUUUAAAGUAAAAAAGUAUUAAAAAUUUAAGUGUAUUAUGCUGUUUUUUAACCUUGCAGGUAUUAUAUUUGUGUUUAGUGUUUUUAAUAUGAUAUAAAAACUUGGCUACUGACUCUGAAAAAUUGAUAGGAC
rnacentral:lncRNA from 1 species